rnacentral:lncRNA from 1 species
GUCAAACUUAAAUGAAAGUGAAAUCUACUUUGUGCACGUGUAUGUGUAACUGUGAUUCACAUUAGCAUCAAUAUUGUCUUUUGUCCGUUGUGUUUUGCGUUUGCCUCAAUGGCUAUUGGUGACACCUGUUGUGGGACCGAUGAGAAUAGGGACCUGUUUGGCAGAUUCUGAGAGUCUUUCUUUAUGCUCACUGUUGCUAAAUGCAGAGGCAUUCAAGUUUCCUCAGUUGCUGGGGUCCCAGAUUGCACUAGGUGCAGCCUCAUCAGAGUAUAUUCUAGCAGUGAAUGGUUGGCGUUUUCAUUGGAUAUAUGCAAGGGCAAUGAGACAAGAUUACGCAGAAGUAAUAGUGAAGGUAAAAUACGGAACUUAAAUUCAAAAAGGCUUGAUUCUUAUUGA